rnacentral:rRNA from 1 species
CAGUAGCCGCGGGAAUACGUAUGUCGCGAGCGUUAUCCGGAAUUAUUGGGCAUAAAGGGCAUCUAGGCGGCCGGAUAAGUCUGGGGUGAAAACUUGCGGCUCAACCGCAAGCCUGCCCUGGAAACUAUGCGGCUAGAGUACUGGAGAGGUGGACGGAACUGCACGAGUAGAGGUGAAAUUCGUAGAUAUGUGCAGGAAUGCCGAUGAUGAAGAUAGUUCACUGGACGGUAACUGACGCUGAAGUGCGAAAGCUAGGGGAGCAAACAGGAUUAGAUACCCCAGUAGUCCCUGUCUCUUAUAC